AUGCGGUAUGACGGUACCCUUUCGAAUAAGAGGUUGCUAACUCUGUGCCAGCAGCAGCGGUAAUACAGAGACCUCGAGCGUUAUCCGGAUUUACUGGGCGUAAAGCGUCUGUAGGGGGUUUGUUAAGUUCCAAGUAAAAUCUUAAGGCUCAACUUUAAGUUCGCUUGGAAAACUAAUAAACUGGAGUCCAGCAGAGGUGCAUGGAACUUGCGGUGUAGGAGUGAAAUCCGUUGAUAUCGCAAGGAACACCAAAGGCGAAGGCAUUGCACUGGGCUGGUACUGACCCUGAGAGACGAAAGCGUGGGGAGCAAAACGGAUUAGAUACCCGUGUAGUCCACGCCGUAAACGAUGGAUACUAGAUGUUCGGGGAUUCGACCCCCUGGGUGUCACAGCUAACGCGUUAAGUAUCCCGCCUGGGAAGUACGGCCGCAAGGCUAAAACUCAAAGGAAUAGACGGGGAUCCGCACAAGCGGUGGAGCGUCUGGUUUAAUUUGAUAGUAAGCAAUGGACCUCACCAAGGUUUGACAUCCUAUGACAACCCUGGAAACAGGGCCUCCUUCGGGCAUAGUGACAGGUGCUGCAUGGUCGUCGUCAGUUCGUGCCGUGAGGUGUUCCGUUAAGUCGGGAAACGAACGAAACCCUCGUCGCAUGUUACAAAUUUCAUGCGAGACUGCCCGGGUCAACCGGGAGGAAGGCGGGGAUGACGUCAGAUCAGCAUGGCCCUUAUACCUUGGGCUACACAGGCGCUACAAUGGCCGGUACAAAGGGUUGCAAAACCGCGAGGUGAAGCUAAUCCCAUAAAGCCGGUCCAAGUUCGGAUUGGAGGCUGCAACUCGCCUCCAUGAAGUUGGAAUCGCUAGUAAUCGUGGAUCAGCCAUACCACGGUGAUACGUUCCCGGAUCUUGUACUCACCGCCCGUCACACCAAGAGAGUUGG
rnacentral:rRNA from 1 species